UUCUCCCGUCUCGAUCUCUUUGAACUUGAGCGUGAAACUCCGUGUAUACUUGCCUUACAGAUAGGAAAACAUAUCUAUAGAGAGCGAAAUGUCUACUUUAAAAUAAACCAAUUCAAAUAGAAAACAAAUAUUCUCCGAUUAUGUAAUCUGUAUGAAACAUGCAUACAGGCACAUCCACUACCGCGGAGAUGACGAGUCAGUGUCGCCGAAUUCAUCUCUUAAACCGAAAACAAAGCACCAUAGUGUAUCAGUAAAUUAUUAAAAUGUUAAUGCAGCCUCCUUACUGCCUCCUUACAGUCUCCUUUUCCUGACACAUUCAUAAUCAUUACUUCUGCAGUGUGCUGUGGCAGGCUUUAUAUGUUUGCUUGAGCGCUUAUAGGCUAUGUAGGCAAUUAAAGGCUCAUUUAUAAUGAUUUAAAUGAUUUAAUAAAUGUGCGAGUAAUCAACUAAUGCAAUGAAUGACUAGUAGUCGACCAGAAAAAUCUUUAUUCAAGGGCAGCCCUAAUUGACAGUUAUUGAUUGUUAAACCACUCUUCAAGCGGCAGUACCCAAAGGGUGGGUUUAAGGUUUCAGGGACUGUGGGAAAACCACUACAUCUCUGAUUGAAAAGGGUCACAAUCACCAGAGUUGUAUCGUAUGGGCCCAUCUUGGCCUGUUUAGCUUGCUUGCCUUUUUCCGAGAGCCAUGACAGAUGAUGGCUUUGUAGAGUGUGUCCUAUGAAGCUGGUACUGAUUGUGCCGCUAAGAGUGUAAUUCAGAAAGCGCAGUGGCUGGAAAUAUAUACAUGAUAUGUGCAUGGAUGAGUUUCAACAGGAGAGUACCAGAGCCAGGUCCACUACGGCAUGGUCCUGGUAUAGCACUUGAUUAAUCUGUAAAAAUAAACAGCUUGCACAUUCAACAUUUAAACAAUAUUAACUAAAUGAGUUCUAGAAAAACGUCCUGGCACAGGCACCAACAGGAUCUGAUUGUUUUCACACUUGAAAAGUUGUUAGUUGUAGUUUCUGCAUGUACUCUGGUUUCUUCUUGUAUCCUGUGACUUGCUUUCUAUAAAUUAAUUUCCUAGAACCAAAAUGUAUUAACGGUUAAUUGCUGUGACACAGCAGUUGUUCUUACCAUUCUGAUAAAUGUUACUAUAUGAUUCAUGUUACUGGAAGUCACUACGUAGUUGAGCAUUACACGUCAUAUUCACUCUUGUCUAUUGUGGAGGGGCAUUUAACAGUGAGAUUUGUCAUCAAACAAGUAGAUGUAAUACUCACCACUGCCCUUUUAAUAAGCUGAUGCCAGUUUAUGUCUGCCAUAAUGGCUUCACCGCUAUUGUAUAAUCUUUGCAAAAGGUGGUCUGGCCUAUUGUUUACAAGGCAGUUUCUGAGCUGCUGGUGUCAUCUAGCAGAACUACAAAAACAAUCAAACAAACUUUUCAAAUGCCCUUUCGCACAUCACUCCUUCCCCGACUCAAAUAUCACACAUACAGCUCUUACGGGUCUAUGAAAGUUAUUGGUUCAACGGUUCACAAAUCUCACAGUUCAGAUCACAUUAUGGUUUUUGACCCACGGAUCGGAUAAUUUUUCGGAUCAGCAAGAAAAGAAACAUAUUUCAAUUUAACCUGCCUUCCAUUUAUUACUUAAAGCAAAGUACUUCUUUGAUACCAC